AAUAUAUGAAGGAAAAAAGGUGGAGGCCAAUGAGGCUGAUUAAAGGUGGACCAUUCCUGAUGCUACAUGGAAUUAAAUAUACUAAUCAGAUUCUGUGCUUAAGGGACAGAAAUAGAAAUCAAAAGAAGUAGAGCAGGCCAACACGCUGAAGAAUUCUGUCUCUUCUCUUUAUUUUUAAUGUAACUAACUGCAUUGACCCAGACGUUCCAGAAGAGAUGAAGAGUUGAUAAAGUUUUUACCCAGGAGAGUAAAAUCUGGAUGUCCUCAGGUCUCAGAAAUGAGCAGAAAGAGAAGAAAAAGCUGCAAGGGCAGAAAAAGCUCAGAUGCCAGAGAAUAUGAACAUUUGCCAGCCAUUUGUAAAUGCCAGCAAAAUGUAAAAGGCCUUACAAAUAAAGCAGAUGAGGACGCAGUAGAAGCUAACUUCUCUGAGCCAGUAGAUACGGAGCAGUCUGAAAGAAAUAGGAGAGAUGAUUCUUGUGCACCAAAGAAUGAGCAACAGAAUAACUCAGGUGCAUGUGAAGAUAAAGAACAAGAAUAUACAGAUGACAGUGAAAAAGA